UCCACAAAUCCUUGUUCACAAGGUAUGAUUCUAUAUACGUCUUCAUACCUUGCAAUUGGGUUGAUUCAACAACUCCAUUCCCUGUCCAUUACGUGACCAUUGAAAUCCAUACAGACAAACUAGUUGGAUCUACCACCAACAAUCUUGAAAUAAAACUCCAAAGCCAAUGUGUGGCUAUGACUCUGAUACCAUGUAGAGAUUAGCAGAAGAAAGGUAUAAUUAGAAAAUCUUCUGCUAGCCCAAGAUUGUUAAUUACGAUCGAAAGAUUUAACUUAAGAAGAGAAAACUAUGAAAGAUAUUAGAAAGGAGAACUUGGAAGAAGACUACUUGAAUUGAUUUGUUUUUUGAUU
rnacentral:lncRNA from 1 species